GAUGAACGCUGGCGGCGUGCCUAAUACAUGCAAGUCGAGCGAACGGACGAGAAGCUUGCUUCUCUGAUGUUAGCGGCGGACGGGUGAGUAACACGUGGAUAACCUACCUAUAAGACUGGGAUAACUUCGGGAAACCGGAGCUAAUACCGGAUAAUAUUUUGAACCGCAUGGUUCAAAAGUGAAAGACGGUCUUGCUGUCACUUAUAGAUGGAUCCGCGCUGCAUUAGCUAGUAGGUAAGGUAACGGCUUACCAAGGCAACGAUGCAUAGCCGACCUGAGAGGGUGAUCGGCCACACGAGAGCUGAGACGCGGUCCAGACUCCUGCGGGAGGCAGCAGUAGGGAAUCUUACGCAAUGGGGGAGAGCCUGACGGAGCAACGCCGCGUGAGUGAUGACGGUGUUCGGAUCGUAAAGCUCUGUUAUUAGGGGAGAACAUAUGUGUAAGUAACUGUGCACAUCUUGACGGUACCUAAUCAGAAAGCCACGGCUAACUACGUG
rnacentral:rRNA from 1 species